rnacentral:lncRNA from 1 species
CUGUGACAAUUGUUUUCUGAAAGUAGGGAAGUAUUCCUUCCAUUUGCUUUAGGCCUAAUUAGUUACAAUGUCAUGGAGUUUUUAUAUUGGUAGUUUGUGAUUUUUGUUUGCUCCACUAAAAGAUUCUUGGUAUUGGAACCCAACGUUAGUGCGGCUUCAAUAGUUUGCCUUACGUGAUUAUUUCUUGCUUAAAAGAACAGUGGAAGUAAUUUUUUUUCUUAUGAAAUUUGUUUUUUUUUUUUUUUUUUUUUUUUUUGUAAUGAAACCGAAGUAAAAAGAGUGAUAGAAGCUCUUACAAUUUUAAUGUUUCCAACACAUACCUCUUCCUAAAAUCUAAAUAAAUUUUGGAUUGUGUUUUACUCAUGCUUUAGUGUUUGAACUUGGAACAAAUUUUGUAGCCUUUUAUGUUAGUCAAGCAAGUGUUUUUGGCAGAAUUAUGUAACAAGAUGCCGCGUUGUAUGGUUGUAAAACUUGACCAUCCAUGGCCUUGAAUGAAUUGAAACGUUUUUCUAAGAAAAUGUGGUAUGAUAUCCCCAUAUUUUUGGCAUUAUGGCAUAGUAAUUGCACAAGGAGAUUGAUAUACGAUGGUAGGCUAGCAUGCAACCAUUUCACGUUCCUUAGAUCAUCUUCACAAAUUUUUGACUCACAAAUGAUGUGAUUAUAUAUACAUAUGUGUGUGUGUGUGUGUGGGGUCUAGGUCUAGGUACGGUGAUAAGAGAUUUUACUGAAGAGGAUUAAUUUACCUACCGUAAAACAGUAUUAAGAUGAAUGAGUUGACUUGUCGAUAUCCUUGAAUCAUCUCCUAAUUAUUUAUUUAAUCCCAGUACUUUGAGAUUCACAACAUUCCCCCAUGAAACAAAAUGGUCUUUUGGUCUUUGGUCUCAAAUGAAGCAAGAAAGCAUGUUCACACCAUAAUUGCGAUGAAAUGUAAAUCACAAACUGUUUUGCUUAUAGGGGAACUUUCGAUUCCAUGAUCAUUGAUGUUGUCCUAUAUUAUCAUGUACACUGUUGAUUUAUUGCACGGGUAUGCAGGCUUCCUCAAGAAACUCAUUACAUUAUUGUAAUUUAAGCUUAAUAGCUAGAGCCCAAAAGUUAACUCUAAUCUAACUGUUAUUUGGUCAGUACAGUUCUCCAGCUAAUUAAUUGUUAGACUAUCUUAGUGGCUAAUAGUUGUACUUUGAUUCAACUCAUACACUACUUAAUCCUCAGAUAAAGCAGGGCUUGUCAACUGUGGAAUGAGUGAACAAGUGACAAAUAUGUUAAGUGAAUGACUUAAUAUUCUUGUUAAUUGCGUGAUCAUGCAGGAGUAAACAAGGACGGUCAAAUCCGUCACUUCUUUCAUAGGCCUUCAAAGGCAUAUACCACUGGAACAAGAAAAAGAAGAAAGGUUCACACGGACACUGAAGCUGAUGGCGGUGGUGAAACAAGAUGGCAUAAAACAGGCAAGACUAGGCCAGUUUUCAUAAGUGGAGCCUUGAAAGGGUACAAGAAAAUACUAGUCCUCUACACAAAUUAUGGCAGGCAAAGGAAGCCUGAGAAGACUAACUGGGUAAUGCAUCAGUACCAUUUAGGCACUAAUGAGGAGGAAAAAGAUGGCGAGUUGGUGGUUUCGAAGGUUUUCUACCAAACACAGCCAAGACAAUGCGGUGGCUCGUCAAGCAUCUCAGAACUCGACAAAAGAUCAACAUCUUCUGUAAGCCACAGCCAUUUGAUGAAGAGUACGAGUAAUAACUUCAUUGAUUAUUAUCCACAUCCCUACAAUAUUUCGUAUAACUUGGGAAGCCAAAGUGGAGAUAGUCAUAGUUCAUCUCAGCUAAUUCCAAAUCUUGUCGUCCAUGGUGAUGGCUCAUCCUUUAUCCAUCUGCCUUCCAGUGUAAGCAAAGGCAAAUAAGGAGGUUGAAGUAGGGAAAAUAUACGUUCUCAUGCUACUAAGUUCAUACAGCGACAAUGACACUUUUGCUGGUGGUUGUUGCUUGUUUUAUAGUUGUGAAGCAUAAGUUAUCGAGCUUUACAAAUGAGGGAAGGCAAAUAAAGUUAUGUUGUUCUAUCUUUUUCUCGAAGAGUUGUCCAGUUAUUCUUUGAUGUCAUUAGCCUUAUACAAUAGGUAAAGAAUCCUUGAAUUUUGUAGUUUUGGUUCUUAGGAAGAAUUAAUAUAUGUUUUAAAUGGUUGCUUGGAGUCCUUAUAUGUUGUACAAAUCUUUGAAUUAUACUAUGUUCUUAAUUUAGUGAAAUCUCGUUUCUCACAAAGACCUUAUGUGAGCUGUUUUUUUCUGUCUAAAAAUGUAAGUGGUGAGGUGUUUCUUGAGUGCGCUACAAGCGAUGCUGCUUUGCUGAUUUAUCGCUUUUUGUUAGAAUAUAGAAGAGUUACGCGGUGUACUUUAUUUUGAUAGUUAUCCAAAUUUAUAUGUAUAUACACUGUAUAUACAUUUAUGGAAAUUCAGAAUUCCAGGACAAAUAAGUGCUAAUAAAAUAUCAAACUUAUAAUUUUCAUUUUCAUGACAACCUGAAAUGGAAAAAAAAAAAAUUGAGGAUAAUUUGAGAUUGAAGAAGAUACAAAGGAUUUUGGAGGUGAUGCAAAAUAGCAAUCACCUUGGUGCUUAAUUUGAAGCGAAUCAGCAGAAGUAGAACAUGUCAUUUUAGCUGACACAACCAUUAAUAUAGAACUUGACAAGCAAACACCCAAAAGCGAUACUUUUUGCUGUACAACUGAAAUAUUGCAAAUUGCCUACAUCAUUGCAAAAACAAGAAACAUAUAUGCAUGGUUGUAAUUACUAAUUAGGGGGAGCCUAUCGCUUCUGUUCUGAACGUACUUUCGAAGUUCAUUUUGCAGCCAUAAGUGCAUGUUGUAACAAUUUGGUUCUAUAACAUAUUUUGGCAAAUUUACGGAGCGGCAAAGGAACAAACUAUGCCCUUUAAUGGUAGAUUUUUACAAAGUUAUCAUGCAAACGAGUCCAGGAUAUUUUCCCCAUAAAUGGACUUCAAAACAUGGUAGUAGAACUUGAGAAACUGAAGGCGAUUUGAGGAUGCUGUAGACAUUAUUGUUUUCGAUAGCAGAAAGAGCAAAAUUUUCACACGUCUAUAUAUGUUGCCCUUUUCAAAUGUAACAGGUUACAAAGUUGAAGCCAUGGAAGGUUAGUCACAGUUUUACUCGUCAAUCACAGGGUGUUCUUAUGUUUUGAACGUAUAAUACCAAACGAAGAAAAAUAUAUAAAGAGAGGAAUUUACUUGGGUAACAAGAAGGGACAGAUUUUCCUACUAAAGUUCACUGAUGACGACAACAACAGCAGGUCAAUUCUUCCCUGCAAGACUUGGACAGGAAGAAAAAUAAAUGAUUUACUUAGUCGAACAGAACUAGGAGAAGAAAAAGAAAAAUAUUCCAGCUGCCACAGAAUUAUUAGUGGUGUCAACGGGUUGGUUUCGGAUUAGAAUUGAACAUUGCGGACCUAGACCCUUUUUAUUUAGUAGACUCGGACCCAACUCGUAUAUCUUACGGGUCUUGAUUUUAGAGUUCCGAAAUUGGAUCCGACGGUCCCGAGUCAGAUUCGAGUAUAUUCGGAAAGAAAAUGUCCAAACUUAAACAUUCUAAAAUUAAAUCCAAAAUUAAUCACAAAUUCAAUCUCCAAAUUUAAACAAAUCAAAUUACAAAGCUAAAUCACAAAUAACUCGCAAUAGUCAAUCUAAAACUAACCACAAAUCAAUCGACAAAGUCAUUACUAAAUUGUUAAUUUGGUAAAAGAAUGUAUUUAGAAAUAUUUAUAUUUUAAAAUUAUUCAUAUAUUGUUCGAAUACCGGUCGAAAUCCUAUAUUCUGUAUCCUACCCUUUUUUGUUAGAAUAAACGGGUAUAGGUCCGAGUUCGGAUCCAGGUAUCGAAAUUAUAUUUUAAUCCAAACCCAGAAAAAUUGAUCGAAUACGGGUCGGGUCUAGAUCCAAACUCGACCCGUUGACACCCUUACAUAGGGAUUAACAGAAGGAAACGAAAAAAACAAUGAUUCGUCCCAUAUUUUUGACAAAAUCUCAUAGGCCAAGUCACUCUGCUUGAUUUCAUUGAUCUCCAAGCGUUUUUCUUCUCUUGUUUGGAUUGCAAUUUUUUCGAGUUUUUGUAUAAAAUGUAUUAUAGCAAUUUGAUAUAAGUGAGGUAAAAAGAUUAUUGGAAAAUAUGUUCACAAAAAACGUAAAAAAUUUUUGAUGAAAAAUGGCAACUCAUAUAAUUUCCUUCAAAUUCCUCAUUAAUAUACUCCAUAUGAGGAAUUUAUUGAUGUCAUAAUCAGCCACCUUUUUUUUAUAUCCAAAAAAAAAAUCAUCAAAUUGGUUUUCACUCCUCUCAAGUUCAUAAUUUAUAGGUUGUUCCAAUGACUAAACGCACAAAAGUUUGAGCUUAGAAUAAGGGCUUGGGGGUCUUUUGUUACACGUCUUCAUGUUACAUUAUGUUACACAUCUUUUGUUAGAAUAAGGGCUUGUCUUGUCUGAGACUUUUACAUGUAGUACCUGUAUAAGCCAAGAAUGUUGUAAUUUUAGGGAUAUAGAAAACGAAAUUCGAACCAAUCGUCGUGAUACGAUAUGUUGGAUUGGGGUAAUGUAAAAUUUCUUAUAAACAUGGCAACGUUGGUUUGGAAAGAUAUAUGAAUAUUGAUGUAUAGGGGUCUUUAUAGUUUUAAACAAUCUAUGUGAGGUAGUUAUGUGAACCUCAAUAACAUUAGUUUUUCAAAUUUUUUUAAAUUCAUAAUUGAAUCUUUUUUUUUUUUGGAAAGAUAUAAAUUUCUCAACAGACCUACACUACAACUUCCUAGUAAAAAAUUAAAAAGAAAAACUAGGUCCAUUUUGAUUGCGGGUUUUGAUUUCAGAACCCAAAAUCAGCCCAAUCAUUUUGGUCGAGGCUUUUCCCUCCUCACACUGGGCUAUCUAGGCCAAGUUUGUGGUAGAUCCCAUUGAUUGACCAAUGCAUGGGACAGGCUAAAACACAAAGCAUACAUACCAAGAUAGCCCAAUCACAAACCCACUAAACGGCUAUUGGGCAACAAGAAGAUUAAACGGAUUUCGCAAGUAAGAUUAUCCUUGGCAAUUUAGCUUCCCAUUAUUUAUAGCUCCUCCAACAAUUGCAGGAAACUAUUCGCUGGAAAAAACGAAGGCUCUGUUUGGAUUGUAAAUUAUUUGAGAUAUUUUUACUGUAGCACUUUUUGUGAUGUGAUGUCUGUGAGAUAAAAAGGUAAUUGGGAAGAUAAAAAGGUGCGUUGGAAAUUGUAAUGAUGAUAUAAGCAAAUAAAUUUUGGCUAAUAAAUCUCUAUCCAAACAAACCCUUCGGGUUACAAAGCAAACAAUUGUAAUGGGAGCAGAAUAAGGGUGUUUCGCGAAUCGAGCUGCUCUCGAGCCGAUCACGAGCGGCGCGAAUACGAGCUCGAGUCGAGCUCAUCAAUAUCAAGCUUGAGUCGAGCUCGAGCUAAUUAAUUCGAUCUCGAGCUCGAGCUAAAAAACAUUGAGCUCGUUGGCUCACGAGCUCAAUUAUAUAUAUAAUUUUUAUUUUUUAUUUUAAUAGUGAAAUUACAUAUAUAUCUCUAAUAUUUUAUUAUUUGUUAAAAAAAUUAUUGUUUUAUUCAUUUUAAAAAAUAAAUAAUUAUUUUUUAUUUUUUUUAAAAUAAAAUAAUAAUAAUUAUUUUUUUAUUUUUUAAGCUCGAGCUUGAGCUUGAUAUUUUGAGCUCGUCGAGCUUGAACUCGAGUUCGAGCUUCACAAAAUUAACUCGAGCUCGACUCAAAUUCGGCACGUUUGCACCCCUAAAGCAGAAUGACCAGAAAACUCAAUCUCAAUCAUCAGAAGGAGCAAAAGAAGCUGAUGGAAGUUGAAGACCUCCUUAAAUACUUACCUAUCGUAUCAUAAAAUUUUGACAUAAUCUGCGAGGCCAACCAUCUGCUGCAUUUCAUUGAUUUCAUCUCCUAAAUAAAUUGAGAGCAAAGCCUUUAGUGUUUCCGGUUCGAUUUCCUGUAUUAAUUGUUUUACGUAAAAAAACAUUGUUGGCAUAUUAAAUCAAGACUCAAAAAUAGAAAUUUGAAUAUUAUUGUUUAGCAGUUUUUCAAUCAAGUUAAGGUUUUAAAAAUUCUAUUUUUUUUUUACUUUUUUAAAAAAGUGUAAGUCGGAGAUUUCGAAUUCGAGAAUUUUGACUUACAUUCCCUUUUUUCGUAUCACUCAACUCAUCCCUUCCCCCAAUUAAUAAUUCUAAUUGAGUCAAAUUAUAGUAAUUUUAUUAUUUAGAAGGGAUAAUUUCAAAAACCUCCCUUGAGGUUUCUGACAAUUUCACUCGACUCCCCUUAGAUUUAAAAAAUUACACUUAUCUCCCUUGACAUAGUAAAAUACCUAUAAUGCCCUCCACUUGGUAGACAAUUUUAAAUUUACGGCAAUAAAUUUACAAAAUCCAAAAAAAUCCAAUUUUUUGUCUCUUAUUUAUUUUCACUCCUCUCUUUUCUAAUUAAUAUAACAUCUUUGUAUUAUUUUCAAUUUUGUGGAUAUUAGCCAAUUGAAAUUACAAAAUCAAUAGAAAGAGUAGAUUAUGUGUCAAAUUAGAAGGAAAUAAAGAGACUCGUAGUGAUACAAAAAUAAAUAAUGAAAUUGAUGAAAUUAGAAGAACUAAAGAUGUAGAAUUUGUCAUAUUUUGUUUUUUCUCAAGAAAAUCUUUUAUAAAAUGUCAAUAAUUACAUAAGAAUUUCUUUCACUGGAGUAGAAAUUUUUUAUUAUGGAAAUAAAAUUUAUUCUCUACUUUUGAGAUAUUAAGAUUGAUAACGCCAUAGGAUGGUUAUAAUGGCAAUUCUAAGUCAGACUAGCUUGUAUUAAAAAGGUAUUUAAGCAUUGACAUUUAAUUUUGGGGUACAACUGGUUGUCAAUGGGGUUUGUGUGUGUAUUUUUUUCUUUUUUCUUUUUUUGCGUGACAAGCAUUGAUACUGUAUAUGCAAUUUGAAAUUUUUUAAUUGGUUAUUUGGUUUUAAAAUUUAUGUUUGAAUGAUUAUUAGGAAUUAGUGUUGUUGAUUUAUGUAAAGUAUGAAAAAAAUGAUUGAGUAUACUAUAUUUUUUUUCUUAGUUUUAUACAAAAGGGCAAUUUAGGAUUUUUAUAAGAAAAUCUAUCUUAUUGAACCUACAUUGUUACUAAACAUUAAAAGUAAGGGAGGUAUAUAUAAUUUUUAAAACCUAAGUGAAGCUCUCUAUAAUUGUUAAAAACCAAAAGGGAGGUUUGUGAAAUUAUCCCUAUUUAGAAAUUGGUGUUUCCUAUCACUCAACCCAUCCAAGUUUCAGACAUCUAUAGAUGUAUCUAUAGAAGUAUAGACCUAUCUAUAGAUGUAUGAAAUCACAUUUUCAUACAUCCAAGUUUUUAUUUUAAAUUUUUAUAGGGACUGUUUUUUUUUUUUUUUUGGGUGUUUGGUACAAAUAGGGAUAGAGCUGGUUAACAUUAAAUACAAUACAGAAGGAAUGCUCGACUUCUUGUUCGUUAAUCUGCAUAACUCUGACGAAAUUGAACUAUAUUCUCUGCGUCGAUCAAGUUUAGGAACUUAAGUUUCAAUUAGCUACACGAGUUGAAUCCCAUACAUCACAAAGCAGAUUAAUUCCGCAAAAUCUUUGAAGCAAUCUGUAAUUCCAAAUUGUAGAAGGUAAAAGAUGAAAUCAAAUGCAGUAGUAGCUCAUAAUUGGCUAGUCAUAGCUGACGCAAAUCCGAAAUCCUUCUUCAUGGACGUGCAGAAAGUAUUGAUUCUAGGAGUAGUAUAAGGCCCCUCAAGUAAACCUUUGGCCAUAAAUCUAUAUGCGGCUUCUGUAAGGUGAAUGCCAUCCCAACUGAUAUAUAGAGAAGGCCAAGCACAAGCAGUAGAC